rnacentral:rRNA from 1 species
AUACAUGAGCAAAAUCUCAACUUUAUUAGAAGAGACGCAUUUAUUAGAUAAAAAGCCAGUUCAUGCUUUUACAGUAUGAAAAUUGGUGAUUUAUAAUAACUUAGCAAAUCGCAAAGUGAAAACAGGCGAUAAAUCAUUCAAGUUUCUGACCUAUCAGCUUUCGACGGUAUGGUAUUGGCUUACCGUGGCAGUGACGGUUAACGGGGGAUUAGGGUUCGAUUCCGGAGAGGGAGCCUGAGAAACGGCUACCACAUCUAAGGAAGGCAGCAGGCGCGCAAAUUACCCAAUUCUAACAGUUUGAGAGAGGUAGUAACAAGAAAUAACAAUACAAGGCAGUUAAAAUGCUUUGUAAUUGGAAUGAUAGAAAUUUAAACCCUUUUUAAAGUAUCAAUUGGAGGGCAAGUCUGGUGCCAGCAGCCGCGGUAAUUCCAGCUCCAAUAGCGUAUAUUAAAAUUGUUGCAGUUAAAAAGCUCGUAGUUGAAGUUCUGCUAAAAGUAACCGGUCUGCUUUUAAUAAAAGUGGUAUCUUGGUGUGUAUUUAGCAAUGAUGUCCUUUGAAGUGUUUUUUACUUUAUUGUAAUAAAGCAUAUUCAGGACUUUUACUUUGAGAAAAUUAGAGUGUUUCUAGCAGGCUGACGCUUUGAAUACUGCAGCAUGGAAUAAUA